GCAGUCGAGCGAUGAUUGAAGAUAGCUUGCUAUUUUCAUGAAGAGCGGCGAACGGGUGAGUAACGCGUGGGAAAUCUGCCGAGUAGCGGGGGACAACGUUUGGAAACGAACGCUAAUACCGCAUAACAAUGAGAAUCGCAUGAUUCUUAUUUGAAAGAAGCAAUUGCUUCACUACUUGAUGAUCCCGCGUUGUAUUAGCUAGUUGGUAGUGUAAAGGACUACCAAGGCGAUGAUACAUAGCCGACCUGAGAGGGUGAUCGGCCACACUGGGACUGAGACACGGCCCAGACUCCUACGGGAGGCAGCAGUAGGGAAUCUUCGGCAAUGGGGGCAACCCUGACCGAGCAAGCGCGUGAGUGAAGAAGGUUUUCGGAUCGUAAAACUCUGUUGUUAGAGAAGAACGUUAAGUAGAGUGGAAAAUUACUUAAGUGACGGUAUCUAACCAGAAAGGGACGGCUAACUACGUGCCG
rnacentral:rRNA from 1 species